rnacentral:rRNA from 1 species
AUUGAACGCUGGCGGCAUGCCUAACACAUGCAAGUCGAACGGCAGCACGGCAGUAGCAAUACUGUGGGUGGCGAGUGGCGGACGGGUGAGGAAUACGUCGGAAUCUGGCCCAGUCGUGGGGGAUAACUAGCCGAAAGGUUAGCUAAUACCGCAUACGACCGAGAGGUGAAAGCGGGGGACCGCAAGGCCUCGCGCGAUUGGAUGAGCCGACGUCGGAUUAGCUAGUUGGUGGGGUAAAGGCCCACCAAGGCGACGAUCCGUAGCUGGUCUGAGAGGAUGAUCAGCCACACUGGAACUGAGACACGGUCCAGACUCCUACGGGAGGCAGCAGUGGGGAAUAUUGGACAAUGGGCGCAAGCCUGAUCCAGCAAUGCCGCGUGUGUGAAGAAGGCCU